GAUCAUGGCUCAGGAUGAACGCUAGCGACAGGCUUAACACAUGCAAGUCGAGGGGCAUCACGGGAGUAGCAAUACAACUGGUGGCGACCGGCGCACGGGUGAGUAACGCGUAUGCAACCUACCUAUCAGAGGGGAAUAACCCGGCGAAAGUCGGACUAAUACCGCAUAAAACAGGGGCACCGCAUGGUGAUAUUUGUUAAAGAAAUUCGCUGAUAGAUGGGCAUGCGUUCCAUUAGGUAGUUGGUGAGGUAACGGCUCACCAAGCCGACGAUGGAUAGGGGAACUGAGAGGUUGGUCCCCCACACUGGUACUGAGACACGGACCAGACUCCUACGGGAGGCAGCAGUGAGGAAUAUUGGUCAAUGGGCGGGAGCCUGAACCAGCCAAGUCGCGUGAAGGAAAGAAGGAUCUAUGGUUCGUAAACUUCUUUUGCAGGGGAAUAAAGUGCAGGACGUGUCCUGUUUUGUAUGUACCCUGAGAAUAAGGAUCGGCUAACUCCGUGCCAGCAGCAGC
rnacentral:rRNA from 1 species